rnacentral:rRNA from 1 species
CAGCAGCCACGGUAAUACGGAGGGUGCAAGCGUUACUCGGAAUUACUGGGCGUAAAGCGUGCGUAGGUGGUGGUUUAAGUCCGUUGUGAAAGCCCUGGGCUCAACCUGGGAAUUGCAGUGGAUACUGGAUCACUAGAGUGUGGUAGAGGAGGGUGGAAUUCCCGGUGUAGCGGUGAAACGCGUAGAGAUCGGGAGGAACAUCAGUGGCGAAGGCGGCCAUCUGGGACAACACUGACGCUGAGGCACGAAAGCGUGGGGAGCAAACAGGAUUAGAGACCCCCGUAGUCCCUGUCUCUUAUAA